AGGGAAUAUUGGUCAAUGGGUGAAAGCCUGAACCAGCCAUGCCGCGUGCAGGAAGACGGCCUUCUGGGUUGUAAACUGCUUUUAUCUGGGGAUAAAAUAUCCUUGCGAGGAGAAUUGAGGGUACCAGAGGAAUAAGCCACGGCUAACUACGUACCAGCAGCCGCGGUAAUACGUAGGUGGCAAGCGUUGUCCGGAUUUAUUGGGUUUAAAGGGUGCGUAGGCGGCUUUGUAAGUCAGUGGUGAAAUACGGCAGCUCAACUGGCGAGGUGCCAUUGAUACUGCAGAGCUAGAGUACUGAUGAGGUAGGCGGAAUGGACGGUGUAGCGGUGAAAUGCUUAGAUAUCGUCCAGAACACCGAUAGCGAAGGCAGCUUACUAAAGAGUAACUGACGCUGAGGCACGAAAGUGUGGGGAUCAAA
rnacentral:rRNA from 1 species